GAGUAUGGGAGGAACCUCAGUAUGUCGCACUGAAGGCAACCUUCACCUCCAGUGAUGACAAGAGGGAGGUAAUGCCUGUGUGCAUUGUCACUGAACUGAGAAGGCGGUACCCAAAUCCACCAGGCGUCCCAUACACAGACUUUCAGCCGUCCUAAUAAUAAAAUAAUUAAUUAAUUGUUAGUAUGUUAGUAACUUAGCUUUUUCCAUUAUACAUGUAA